GUGAAUUUCAGAUAAGAGAAGACUUUGGAUUCCAGCCCGAAAGUGAUACUUGGGAGUCAUUCCAGUGGGACAGCGUCUCCCGUGAUAAUGGCAAACGUUUGUCUGGUGCCGGCUCUGGCUGUGAAGGAACUGACCCCGGAGGAGCUCCUGCGGAUGGGGGAACAGCACUAGUGGGAGGCAGAGCAGAGGGAUCCGAUGGUGAACGCUGGUCAAAGGUCACACAUGUCACCACUCAAGGGUUCCUGCUAUGUGGAUUUUGGUGCACUUGUGAGUUUUGAUGUGGCAGAACUCAACUGAAAUUAGUGUCUGAACUCUUCAAGACCCCACUAGGGGCUGUCUGCACUCAGACUACAUGCCAGCCAGCUACUGCAAGGGUUCCAGAAGAGACCCCCAA